AGUAACUUGCCUGCUUUGUGAUGUCACUAAACAUCAGUUCUGGGCUACUACUAAUGCAUCUUAAGGCUAAUAGGAGUCAUGUGGAUGAGCUAAAGAAACAGCCUUGCAUCUGCUUACAUAGACAUAAAAAUGGUCUGCAGGAAGUCUAUAAUGAAGUUUUUUAUGGAAAGUGGGUGUGAAAGACACUGUAUCAGUGGCGAGAUUCUAGGAGUCUCUGAAAGGAUUAUGUCCAGUGCUGUCUCAAUCCAGUUUGCUGUAGGCACCAUACUGGAUUGUGUUCAUGAGUGGAUAUGCAUGUUGAAACCUUGACUUACAUCCCCAGAAUAUUAAGUGCAGGAGAUAAACCUUCCCAGUAAGCAUCAGAUGUGUACCAGGCAUGUUGGCAAUCCAGAGAUGUGACACUUUAAGUGAGUAGCAUCCCUUUCAUAAAGUUGCAGAAUAGUGAAAUAAGUAGCUAAUGACUAAAUGCUCCAUCUUUCUGGUCCUCUUCCACCAUUCUUCUGGGUUGCUCCCAGGUGUGGUCUUAUCUAUGUGGAGUGGUAAAGUAGCAUCCAGACAAGCAAUGGUGUGGCAG
rnacentral:lncRNA from 1 species